CGGGAGGGCGCGAGCCUGUUCUCCAGAGGAGGGCCGUGUGUGUUUACUGCCCAGGGACCUGGUCUGGCCCCAGGGGGUUGGUGGCCGAGGCCAUCUUUUGCCCCUCCCCUUGGAUGUGUUUUGUGCCAGGAUGCCUGGAUCUGCGAAGGAGCUUCAGGGUUUUCAAUUUCGGGGGAAAUCUGUGUGUUUCAGGUUAGCUGUCAGGGUUAUGUGGGUUGUCUAGGAAAGCCGAGCUGCCCAGGUGGCCCUGCUGCAGGUCAGAGGCAGUCCCCUGAAGACUUGCGAAAACCCAUGAGCUGGAGGCCUUGCUCUGCAAUGGUCACCGAUUGCUUUUGUGAGGAAAGUUGUGGUUGAAGGGAUAAGUUCCCGGUGCACAUGGUGCGUGUUAGGUCUGAAGAUCAGGUUUGAAGACGUCUGCUGAGCAGGAGACGUCUAAAUCUUUACCAUCCCGAUUGUCAGUUAUCUUGCCGGAGGUUGUUUUCAAGUGCAGCAUACUCAGCAGUGCAGGCCUCAAAUUAGGAGUUAAUCAACUUGGGAAAUGUGUUUUAAACAUGUUCUUUAAGAAAAGUUUACCUAGCC
rnacentral:lncRNA from 1 species